rnacentral:rRNA from 1 species
UGGAGCAUGUGGUUUAAUUCGAUGCAACGCGAAGAACCUUACCUGGGCUUGACAUCCCGGGAAUCCCCUGGAAACAGGGGAGUGCCCUUCGGGAACCCGGUGACAGGUGCUGCAUGGCUGUCGUCAGCUCGUGUCGUGAGAUGUUGGGUUAAGUCCCGCAACGAGCGCAACCCUUGUCUUCAGUUACCAUCAUUCAGUUGGGGACUCUGGAGAGACUGCCGGUGACAAACCGGAGGAAGGUGGGGAUGACGUCAAAUCAUCAUGCCCCUUAUGACCUGGGCUACACACGUACUACAAUGGCGUAUACAACGGGAAGCGAAAUGGUGACAUGGAGCAAAUCUCACAAAGUACGUCUCAGUUCGGAUUGAAGUCUGCAACUCGACUUCAUGAAGUCGGAAUCGCUAGUAAUCGCGGAUCAGCAUGCCGCGGUGAAUACGUUCUCGGGCCUU